AGGACGAACGCUGGCGGCGUGCUUAAUACAUGCAAGUCGAGCGGAAAGGCCCUUCGGGGUACUCGAGCGGCGAACGGGUGAGUAACACGUGAGCAACCUGCCCUUAGCUUCGGGAUAGCUCCGGGAAACCGGAAUUAAUACCGGAUAUGACUAUGGCCGACAUCAGCCAUGGUGGAAAGUUUUUCGGCUAGGGAUGGACUCGCGGCCUAUCAGCUAGUUGGUGAGGUAACGGCUCACCAAGGCGACGACGGGUAGCCGGCCUGAGAGGGCGACCGGCCACACUGGGACUGAGACACGGCCCAGACUCCUACGGGAGGCAGCAGUGGGGAAUAUUGCGCAAUGGGCGAAAGCCUGACGCAGCGACGCCGCGUGGGGGAUGAAUGCCUUCGGUUGUAAACCCUUUCAGCAGGACGAAGCGAAAGUGACGGUACCUGCAGAGAAGCGCCGGCUACUACGUGCCAGCAGCCGC
rnacentral:rRNA from 1 species